GUCAGUUUGUCCGAGUGGUUAAGGAGUUUGACUCGAAAUCAAAUGCUCUCUGAGCGCACAGGUUCGAGUCCUGUAGCUGACG
rnacentral:tRNA from 1 species